GUGACAUCAUCACGCACGUCCCUGUUCCUGGAAGUAUUGAGUGGACACCCCCAAACUCAAGCGUGCAUAGACUGUUUGGUUUCAGCCAACGGCUGCAUGAACUGAGGAAAGGAAAGACUUCACGAAUACCCAGUAAUUUUAAAGUUGUGCUGUCUUAUAAUUGUGGAAAUAAAUCGUUUUACCUUAUUGGCGGCAGUGGAUUCUAUAUUUGGAGCUAUCUGAAGUAGAGCAGGC